rnacentral:rRNA from 1 species
CACGUAGGGUGCGAGCGUUGUCCGGAAUUAUUGGGCGUAAAGAGCUCGUAGGCGGUGUGUCGCGUCGGCCGUGAAAACCUGCAGCUCAACUCCGGGCCUGCAGUCGAUACGGGCAGGCUAGAGUUCGGUAGGGGAGACUGGAAUUCCUGGUGUAGCGGUGAAAUGCGCAGAUAUCAGGAGGAACACCGGUGGCGAAGGCGGGUCUCUGGGCCGAUACUGACGCUGAGGAGCGAAAGCGUGGGGAGCGAACAGG